AACGAACGCUGGCGGCGUGCCUAACACAUGCAAGUCGAGCGCGAAAAGGGCAACCUGAGUAGAGCGGCGCACGGGUGCGUAACACGUGGGUAAUCUGCCUUAGAGUCGAGGAUAACCUUCCGAAAGGUUGGCUAAUACUCGGUAAGCUUACGGUGUCUUCGGACGCUGUGGGAAAAGUAGGCCUCUGUUUACAAGCUUACGCUCUGAGAUGAGCCCGCGGCCCAUCAGCUAGUUGGCGGUGUAACGGACCACCAAGGCAACGACGGGUAGCUGGUCUGAGAGGACAAUCAGCCACACUGGAACUGAGACACGGUCCAGACUCCUCCGGGAGGCAGCAGUGGGGAAUUUUCCACAAUGGGCGAAAGCCUGAUGGAGCAACGCCGCGUGUGUGAUGAAGGUUUUCGGAUCGUAAAGCACUUUCGACUGGGACGAAAAACCUUUGGCUAACAUCCAGGGGCCUGACGGUACCAGGAGAAGAAGCACCGGCUAACUCUGUGCCAGCAGCCGCGGUAA
rnacentral:rRNA from 1 species